rnacentral:rRNA from 1 species
CCUACGGGGUGCAGCAGUGGGGAAUAUUGCACAAUGGGGGAAACACUGAUGCAGCGACGCCGCGUGAGUGAAGAAGUAACUCGGUAUGUAAAGAUCUUUAAUUGGGGACGAAACAAAUGACGGUACCCAAAGAAUAAGCUCCGGCUAACUACGUGCCAGCAGCCGCGGUAAUACGUAGGGAGCAAGCGUUAUCCGGAUUUACUGGGUGUAAAGGGCGAGUAGGCGGGCUGGCAAGUUGGGAGUGAAAUCCCGGGGCUUAACCCCGGAACCGCUUUUAAAACUGCUGGUCUUGAGUGAUGGAGAGGUAGGCGGAAUGCCGUGUGUAGCGGUGAAAUGCGUAGAUAUACGGAGGAACACCAGUGGCGAAGGCGGCCUGCUGGACAUUAACUGACGCUGAGGAGCGAAAGCGUGGGGAGCAAACAGGAUUAGAUACCCGAGUAGUC